rnacentral:lncRNA from 1 species
GUGAGUUCCCAGAAACAAAACCGUUAGGGCGUGGUCGGGGCCCAAAACGGACAAUAUCAUGCUCAAAGGAGUCGAGCCCGGGAUGUGGUGGACCCCGGGUCGGGAUGUGACAAUUUUCAAUCCCACAAAUUAUGAGUUUUAUUUAAAAUCUCAUUAAUAUAAAAAACUACAAAUUUCAAUUUUUAACUUAAAUGAAUAUAAUAACCUAAUAGAAACACAUUAUACAUUAAUGUCAAGAACUAUGGUCUAGUGGUAUUCCUCUUCACUUGUAAGUGAGAGGUAUUAGGUUCGAUUCUCGUCAAAGGCGAAUUUGAACUGUAUUAUUGUCAACUCAUUGUGAGGCUAAGCCAACACCAUUUCUCUUAGUAUCGAUAAUAUCGUUUAAUAUCGUUUGUUAAAAAUAAAAAAAUGAUUAAAAAAACAAGAUUUUAGUAAAAAAAAUAUAUAUUAAUAGUUAGGGAUCGUUCCAAAGUCUUCAUUUUUAGUAUCACUUGAAUAAAAAGAGAACAACUAAAAAUUUACCUUAAUGGAAAUGAAGUUUCUUUAAUUAAAAAAUCUCAUUUGAUACUUUAAACUUUCUAUAAUUAAAAAGAAAAAUACAUUUAUGAGGAGUCUAAAAUGAGAUUUUUGAAGUACUAAUAACAAUUUUUUUUUUUAAAUUUCUUUUAUAAAAAUUAAAAUUAAUUAAAAAUGACGUGUCAUGUCCUAAAUCGUUGAAUUAUUAUAAUAGUAAAAUUUUAACAAAAUGCGAGUAAAUACAUGAAUGCUAAAUGCAGACUCGAGAUCCCCUGGCCAGAUAGAUUACAAUGCCACUUUGCAUUGUUAAUUAAGUACUAUACUUUUGCUUUUCAAGAUUUGGCAUGUGAAGAUGCACGCAUAACCGCACAUUUGGGGAGCAAAUAAUAUAAUCUAAUUAUCAAAGUACAGGUAUGUAUAUUUGUAUGUCGCUCAUUACAAGGAAAGAGAAAGAACAAUAAAAAUAUCUAUGAAAGGCGUUCGCUAUUAUUCGAUCCCAAUAAUUUUGUUCCCCAUUUGGCCAAUUUGAGGGCCAUUGACCGACCCUUUAUAAUAAUUAUUGUACUCUAUCUUCCCUUAACUUUGUAAAUUUUUAAUUAACAUUGUUCAGUCGUUGUAGAUCUUUUAACCUUGUUCAGUAAUAUUUUUCUAUUUUCCGAUUAACCUAUGUAUGUGUGUGCAUUUCAUAUUGCUAGCAGCAAAAUUUAGUAUUUUAUUCCCUUUCGUAGCUAGGGUUAGUACGUACGUACACAAACUAUAUGUCUACUCCUUUGAAUUUUACCAAUUGACUUAUCCAAAGGAAUA